rnacentral:rRNA from 1 species
CCCUUAGAUGUUCUGGGCCGCACGCGCGCUACACUGACGGAGCCAACGAGUAUUUUCCUUGUCCGGAAGGACUGGGUAAUCUUGUGAAACUUUGUCGUGCUGGGGAUAGAUCCUUGCAAUUUUUGAUCUUAAACGAGGAAUGCCUAGUAAGCGCAAGUCAUCAACUUGCGUUGAUUACGUCCCUGCCCUUUGUACACACCGCCCGUCGCUACUACCGAUUGAAUGGUUUAGUGAGGCCUUCGGAUCCGCGACUCGUUUGUGGAGAAGUUGGACAAACUCAGUCAUUUAGAGGAAGUAAAAGUCGUAACA